rnacentral:rRNA from 1 species
GGCGCACGGUGAAUGCCUGGGCACUAGAAGCCGAUGAAGGACGUGACGAACCACGAAAGGCUACGGAGAGCUGUAAGUAAGCUAAGACCCGUAGAUAUCCGAAUGGGGGAACCCGGUGCAGCGAUGCAUCAUUAAAUACUGUUAAGGUAUUUAAAGGAAGACGCAGUGAACUGAAACAUCUAAGUAGCUGCAGGAAGAGAAAGAAAAAUCGAUUUCCUAAGUAGCGGCGAGCGAAAGGGAAAGAGCCCAAACCAUUGAAUUUAUUCAGUGGGGUUGUAGGACUACGAUGUGAGACAGAGAGGCGUAGUUGAAGUCUUUGGGAAAAGACGCCGG